rnacentral:rRNA from 1 species
UACGUAGGUGGCAAGCGUUAUCCGGAUUUAUUGGGUUUAAAGGGUGCGUAGGCGGCCUUAUAAGUCGGUGGUUAAAGGCAGCAGCUUAACUGUAUGCAUGCCAUCGAUACUGUAGGGCUUGAGUUAUCAGGAGGCAGGCGGAAUUUCUGGUGUAGCGGUGAAAUGCAUAGAUACCAGAAGGAACACCAAUUGCGAAGGCAGCUUGCUGUUGAUAAACUGACGCUGAUGCACGAAAGCGUGGGGAGCGAACAGG